rnacentral:rRNA from 1 species
AUGAACGCUAGCGACAGGCCUAACACAUGCAAGUCGAGGGGCAGCACAUGAGUAGCAAUACGAUGGUGGCGACCGGCGCACGGGUGAGUAACACGUAUGCAACCUGCCUGUAAGAGGGGGAUAACCCGGAGAAAUUCGGACUAAUACCGCAUAAUACCACGAGACUGCAUGGUUUUGUGGUUAAACAUUUAUGGCUUACAGAUGGGCAUGCGUAUGAUUAGAUAGUUGGUAGGGUAACGGCCUACCAAGUCUACGAUCAUUAGGGGUUCUGAGAGGAAGGUCCCCCACACUGGUACUGAGACACGGACCAGACUCCUACGGGAGGCAGCAGUGAGGAAUAUUGGUCAAUGGGCGCAAGCCUGAACCAGCCAUGCCGCGUGCAGGAUGAAGCAUCUAUGGUGUGUAAACUGCUUUUGUACGGGAAGAAACACCGGAACGCGUUCCGGCUUGACGGUACCGUAAGGAUAAGGAUCGGCUAACUCCGUG